rnacentral:rRNA from 1 species
AGCAGCCGCGGUAAUUCCAGCUCCAAUAGCGUAUAUUAAAGUUGUUGCAGUUAAAAAGCUCGUAGUUGAAUUUCGAGACCGGCUUACUGGUCGUGCUAUUGUACGUACUGGUAUAAUCGGUUUCUCCUUUCUGACGAACUAUAAUGCCAUUAAUUUGGUGUUAUAGGGAAUCAGGACUGUUACUUUGAAAAAAUUUAGAGUGUUUAAAGCAGGCUCACGCUUGAAUACAUUAGCAUGGAAUAACGGAAUAGGACGUUUGAUUCUAUUUUGUUGGUUUCUAGGAUCGACGUAAUGAUUAAUAGGGAUAGUUGGGGGCAUUAGUAUUCAACUGUCAGAGGUGAAAUUCUUGGAUUUAUUGAAGACUAACUACUGCGAAAGCAUUUGCCAAGGAUGUUUUCAUUAAUCAAGAACGAAAGUUAGGGGAUCGAAGACGAUCAGAUACCGUCGUAGUCUUAACCAUAAACUAUGCCGACUAGGGAUCGGAUGAUGUUAAUUUUUUAAUGACUCAUUCGGCGCCUUA